UACGGAGGGUGCGAGCGUUGUCCGGAAUCACUGGGCGUAAAGCGCGUGUAGGCGGCUUAGCAAGUCGGGCGUGAAAGCCCUCGGCUCAACCGAGGAAGUGCACCCGAAACUGCUGAGCUUGAGUGCCGGAGAGGAUGGCGGAAUUCCCCAAGUAGAGGUGAAAUUCGUAGAUAUGGGGAGGAACACCGGUGGCGAAGGCGGCCAUCUGGACGGUAACUGACGCUGAGACGCGAAAGCGUGGGGAGCAAACAGG
rnacentral:rRNA from 1 species